rnacentral:rRNA from 1 species
GACGAACGCUGGCGGCGUGCUUAACACAUGCAAGUCGAACGGAAAGGCCCUGCUUUUGUGGGGUGCUCGAGUGGCGAACGGGUGAGUAACACGUGAGUAACCUGCCCUUGACUUUGGGAUAACUUCAGGAAACUGGGGCUAAUACCGGCUAGGAGCUCCUGCUGCAUGGUGGGGGUUGGAAAGUUUCGGCGGUUGGGGAUGGACUCGCGGCUUAUCAGCUUGUUGGUGGGGUAGUGGCUUACCAAGGCUUCGACGGGUAGCCGGCCUGAGAGGGUGACCGGCGACAUUGGGACUGAGAUACGGCCCAGACUCCUACGGGAGGCAGCAGUGGGGAAUAUUGCACAAUGGGCGGAAGCCUGAGGCAGCAACGCCGCGUGCGGGAUGACGGCCUUCGGGUUGUAAACCGCUUUCGCCUGUGACGAAGCGUGAGUGACGGUAAUGGGUAAAGAAGCACCGGCUAACUACGUG